rnacentral:rRNA from 1 species
UACACUCCUACGGGAGGCAGCAGUGGGGAAUAUUGCACAAUGGGCGCAAGCCUGAUGCAGCCAUGCCGCGUGUAUGAAGAAGGCCUUCGGGUUGUAAAGUACUUUCAGCGGGGAGGAAGGCAAUACGGUUAAUAACCGUGUUGAUUGACGUUACCCGCAGAAGAAGCACCGGCUAACUCCGUGCCAGCAGCCGCGGUAAUACGGAGGGUGCAAGCGUUAAUCGGAAUUACUGGGCGUAAAGCGCACGCAGGCGGUCUGUCAAGUCGGAUGUGAAAUCCCCGGGCUCAACCUGGGAACUGCAUUCGAAACUGGCAGGCUUGAGUCUUGUAGAGGGGGGUAGAAUUCCAGGUGUAGCGGUGAAAUGCGUAGAGAUCUGGAGGAAUACCGGUGGCGAAGGCGGCCCCCUGGACAAAGACUGACGCUCAGGUGCGAAAGCGUGGGGAGCAAACAGGAUUAGAUACCCCGGUAGUCCCAUGAU